rnacentral:rRNA from 1 species
UACGAAGGGGGCUAGCGUUGUUCGGAAUUACUGGGCGUAAAGCGCACGUAGGCGGAUUUGUUAGUCAGGGGUGAAAUCCCGGGGCUCAACCUCGGAACUGCCUUCGAUACUGCAAAUCUCGAGUCCGGAAGAGGUGAGUGGAAUUCCUAGUGUAGAGGUGAAAUUCGUAGAUAUUAGGAAGAACACCAGUGGCGAAGGCGGCUCACUGGUCCGGUACUGACGCUGAGGCGCGAAAGCGUGGGGAGCAAACAGG